GAGUUUGAUCCUGGCUCAGGAUGAACGCUGGCGGCGUGCUUAACACAUGCAAGUCGAACGAAGCACUUGAGAUUGAAUCUUCGGAUGAGAACUCUUGUGACUGAGUGGCGGACGGGUGAGCAACGCGUGGGUAACCUACCUCAUACAGGGGGAUAACAGUUGGAAACGACCGCUAAUACCGCAUAACCCGCUAGUAUCGCAUGAUACGGACGGAAAAGAUUUAUCGGUGUGAGAUGGACCCGCGUCUGAUUAGCCAGUUGGCAGGGUAACGGCCUACCAAAGCAACGAUCAGUAGCCGGCCUGAGAGGGUGAACGGCCACAUUGGGACUGAGACACGGCCCAAACUCCUACGGGAGGCAGCAGUGGGGAAUAUUGCACAAUGGGGGAAACCCUGAUGCAGCGACGCCGCGUGAGUGAGGAAGUAUUUCGGUAUGUAAAGCUCUAUCAGCAGGGAAGAAAAUGACGGUACCUGACUAAGAAGCCCCGGCUAACUACGUGCCAGCAGCCGCGGUAAUAC
rnacentral:rRNA from 1 species